GUACUACGGCUGACUUUAUGGGACAGCAUACCAGGACCACGAAAACCAUGUUUAAUCCAUGUCGGGAAUAUCCCAGUCGUCAGAGGGUCUGUGUGACGGACUAUAUGUACCAGAGAGAAAACGUCAGUAUACCUUCAACUUUAAACAACUCAGUUGUAGCCGGCGAGCGGGCGAAAGACCACGUGCAACAUGCAGACAAUUGAAGUCCUGGCAUCCAAUGGGAAAACCAUGCGUUAAGGUGAUUGAAGUUUCCCUGGCUGAACAGCUGAAUUGUCCAUGUGUUAACCCAGGUUAAGAUUCGUUGUUGCAGUCGACAUAGGAUUGCCCUGUUCCAUUAACUCGUUUGCCAUUGGUUGACUCGCCAGCUCUGUCCACGCCAGAAUCAACCCAUGCUCGUUAAAGUCGACUUACGAUUGGUCAGACUCGCUGACCCAGUUGGCCACAUGAAAUGGAAGGACGUUUACGUCAAGCCCAGAAUCAGCCAUUGACGUUAUCUGAAUUGGGACGAGCGUUGGUUCAGACAUGGAA